UACAGAGGGGGCAAGCGUUGUUCGGAAUUACUGGGCGUAAAGCGCGCGUAGGUGGCUUCGUAAGUCCGUUGUGAAAGUCAAAGGCUCAACCUUUUGAAUGCCGAUGGAUACUGCGAAGCUAGAGUACGGAAGAGGCGAGUGGAAUUCCUGGUGUAGCGGUGGAAUGCGCAGAUAUCAGGAGGAACACCAAUAGCGAAGGCAGCUCGCUGGGACGUUACUGACACUAAGGCGCGAAAGCGUGGGGAGCGAACAGG
rnacentral:rRNA from 1 species